rnacentral:rRNA from 1 species
UACGUAGGGGGCAAGCGUUGUCCGGAAUCAUUGGGCGUAAAGCGCGUGUAGGCGGCCAGGUAGGUCUGGUGUGAAAACUCGAGGCUUAACCUCGAGAUGUCAUCGGAAACCAUCUGGCUAGAGUCCGGAAGAGGAGAGUGGAAUUCCUGGUGUAGCGGUGAAAUGCGUAGAUAUCUGGAGGAACACCGGUGGCGAAGGCGGCUCUCUGGUACGCGACUGACGCUGAGACGCGAAAGCGUGGGGAGCGAACAGG